rnacentral:rRNA from 1 species
GAGCACGUAGGUGGGUUUGUAAGUCAGAUGUGAAAGCCUUCUGUUCAACGGGAGAAUUGCAUCUGAAACUACAAACCUUGAGUGUAGGAGGGGAGAAUGGAACUUCUGGUGGAGCGGUGAAAUGCGUAGAUAUCAGAAGGAACGCCGGCGGCGAAAGCGAUUCUCUGGCCUAUUACUGACACUCAGUGUGCGAAAGCUAGGGGAGCAAACGGGAUUAGAUACCCCGGUAGUCCUAGCCGUAAACGAUGGGCACUAAGUAGAGGGAAUUACCGAUGUUCUCUCUGCCGUAGCUAACGCAUUAAGCGCCCCGCCUGGGGAGUACGGCCGCAAGGCUAAAACUCAAAAGAAUUGACGGGGGCUCGCACAAGCGGUGGAGCAUGUGGCUUAAUUCGAUGCAACGCGAAAAACCUUACCGGGGCUUGACAUGGUAGAAGUAGGAACCUGAAAGGGUAACGAACGGUAUCCAGUCCGUAGCUAUCACAGGUGUUGCAUGGCUGUCGUCAGCUCGUGUCGUGAGACGUUGGGUUAAGUCCCCUAACGAGCGAAACCCUUAUUUUUAGUUACCAGCGGGUUGUGCCGGGUACUCUAGAAAGACUGCCGUCGUCAAGACGGAGGAAGGUGGGGAUGACGUCAAGUCAUCAUGGCCCUUAUGCCCCGGGCUGCACAUGUGCUACAAUGGUCGGUACAGACGGAAGCGAAGCCGAGAGGUGAAGCGAAUCC